UACGGAGGGGGCUAGCGUUGUUCGGAAUUACUGGGCGUAAAGCGCACGUAGGCGGCUUUGUAAGUUAGAGGUGAAAGCCCGGAGCUCAACUCCGGAAUUGCCUUUAAGACUGCAUCGCUUGAAUCCAGGAGAGGUGAGUGGAAUUCCGAGUGUAGAGGUGAAAUUCGUAGAUAUUCGGAAGAACACCAGUGGCGAAGGCGGCUCACUGGCCCGGUACUGACGCUGAGGCACGAAAGCGUGGGGAGCAAACAGG
rnacentral:rRNA from 1 species